GACUCAGUGGUGUAACGGUGACACACUUGCUCAUAUUGCGGAAGCGAGGAAAACAAAUAAGCAGUAGUUCUCUGUUCAAUUCAGGGCUGGGCCA